rnacentral:sRNA from 1 species
CAGUUCACAUACCGACCAACUUGAUAGC